rnacentral:rRNA from 1 species
CCUACGGGGGGCAGCAGUGAGGAAUCUUCCGCAAUGGGCGAAAGCCUGACGGAGCGACACCGCGUGAAGGAUGAAGCCCUUUCCGGGCGUAAACUUCUGUUCUGAGGGACGAAAUUUUUGACGGUACCUCAGGAGAAAGCAUCGGCAAACCCUGUGCCAGCAGCCGCGGUAAGACAGGGGAUGCAAGCGUUACUCGGAAUUACUGGGCGUAAAGCGUCUGCAGGUUUCUUGCCACGUCUGGUGUCAAAUGGCGAUGCUUAACAUCGUCACCGUACCGGAAACGAGCGAGAUCGAGUCACCCAGAGGCAUCUGGAAUGUCGUGUGUAGGGGUAAAAUCCGUAGAUCCACGAUGGAACGCCGAAAGCGAAGGCAGGAUGCUGGGGGUGCACUGACACUCAGAGACGAAAGCGUGGGGAGCAAAGGGGAUUAGAUACCCCGGUAGUC